rnacentral:lncRNA from 1 species
AUUAGGUUGAUUAUUUAUGAGCCUGAAUUAAUUAAUUGGAUUAAUUAUUUUACGGACUGAAUUUAAUUAAAUAGAUUAAUUAAAUAUUGGUCUGGACUAGGCCAAGCCUGUUUGGGCUUAUAUAAAUACAUGGCUAGGGUUUUCAAUCUGUAGAGAAUCUCAUAAUUCUUGCUAGCACAAGAGGAGAAAACCCUAGUGGCUGCAAUCUGUUCUCUGUGUGCAAUUCAUUGAAGGCUGGACAAUUGGACAGCUGUGAGAGGCAGAUCCAAGUUGCUGGAACAAAGAUAACGUAAAGGAGUUUGCAAAUUCAAGAAAAGGUAUAACUUUUAUCACAGUUUUUAUCUAAAUACAAAGAUGAAUCCUGGUGGGAAUUGAAAUUAUUUUUAUUUUCGCUGCACAUGUUUAAGUAAAUUCCCAACAGUGGUAUCAGAGCCAACUUUGUAUUUGUUAGGAAUUGAUUUACGUAUUUAUGAAAUCAAAAGUUGAUUUUUUAUUAUGUUCUUGAAUCUCAAAAUUUGAUUUUGAAAAAGAAGAAAAAAAAUUGGAUUUUGUAGGCGAAGAUGGCGCGCAGCAGCGGCAUCCCCCACCGUUCUUUGGGCGGGCGGUGCCGCUAAAGGAAGAAUUUUUUUUUUUUUUUUAGGGUUUCAGGGGAGGUGGAGGCGGGGGCUUCUAUUGCAAUUAAUGUAAUUGCGAGCCCCCGCCUGCAAUUAAAGAUAUAUGGGUGUUUUUGCAAUUUUGAUAGAGGGGCCUGUCAUGCUAUUUACGAAAUUGAGGGACUUGUGUUUUAAUUUUGAAUUGGGUCGAAUUGCAAUUUUUGAAAUUGGUUUUAAAUUUGAAUUCAAAAUGGUUUUUGAAAUUAUAAUUUUAAUUGAUUUGACCCAUGUUUCUAAUUAGGUCCAAAAUUAAUGAUAUAUUUAAAAUUUGAUGACCUUUAUAUUUUUGUUAAAAUUAGAUUUUAACUUAAAUAUUUAAU